rnacentral:rRNA from 1 species
CGCCUGCCGGCGACCGGCGCACGGGUGAGUAACACGUAUGCGACCUGCCCCCGCAGGGGGAUAACCGGGAGAAAUCCCGACUAAUACCGCGUAACGCCGCGGACCUGCAUGGGUCUGCGGCCAAAGGAAGCGAUUCCGGCGGGGGAUGGGCAUGCGGCGCACUAGCUAGUCGGCGGGGUAACGGCCCACCGAGGCGACGAUGCGUAGGGGUUCUGAGAGGAAGGUCCCCCACACUGGUACUGAGACACGGACCAGACUCCUACGGGAGGCAGCAG